rnacentral:rRNA from 1 species
CCACAUCAUGAAAGCCGCUUGUACCCGAAGUCGCUGUGCCAACUCGCGAAGAGAGGCAGGUGCCGAAGGUAUGGGGUGGUGAUUGGGAUG